rnacentral:rRNA from 1 species
ACAUAUACAUCCGCCCGGGUACUACGAGCACAGCUUAAAACCCAAAGGACUUGGCGGUGUCUCAGACCCACCUAGAGGAGCCUGUUCUAGAACCGAUACCCCCCGUUGAACCUCACCACUUCUUGUUCUUCCCGCCUAUAUACCGCCGUCGUCAGCUUACCCUGUGAAGGUUUAAUAGUAAGCAAAAUGGGCCCACCCAAAAACGUCAGGCCGAGGUGUAGCGUAUGAAGUGGAAAGAAAUGGGCUACAUUUUCUACAAUUAGAAUAUUACGAAUGAUGCAUUGAAAUUAUGCACCUGAAGGUGGAUUUAGUAGUAAAAAGCAAACAGAGUGUCCCUUUGAAUUAGGCUCUGAGACGCGCACACACCGCCCGUCACUCUCCCCACAAAAAUCAAAACAAUAUAUAAUAAAUCAACCACAAAUACGGGGAGGCAAGUCGUAACAUGGUAAGUGUACCGGAAGGUGCACUUGGAAUAAU